GGCCUGGUAGCUUAGCCUGGCUAGAGCAUCCGACUGAUACUCUGAAGAUCGCCGGUUCAAAUCCGGUCCGGGCCA
rnacentral:tRNA from 1 species